rnacentral:lncRNA from 1 species
UUAAUUGUACCUCUCUAUAUCUUAUCUCUGCUCCAAUUGUAACCAGACCCAGGUUUGGCUCCCCAUCGCUGGAAAGCUGAACACAAGAGGUGCUUGAGUGACAUGAGUCUCUUAAUCAUUUAAAAAUUAAAGCAUCAUCAACCAGCACUGUAGAAUUAAGAAUAUAAGGCAUCCCAUUCUGCCCUGCAUAUUCAAGAGGCUGUGGACUGCUUGCUCCAUUUCCAUGCUGCCCUCAAUCUCAG